CAUAUGAUCAAAACCCGCCGCUCUUUUUUGGCGGGGGCUCGCAACCUCAAACCCUAAAAAUCAAAUUUGUGUGUUGAUAGUGUUGUUUUGAAGAAGAUGAACAAGAAGAUAAUGCAAGUUCGGAAUGUCCUCCAUGAUCGAUCAGCUCCAAAUCCUCUACAGUGACACCGUCAAUUUCUUGUGGUCGGUUCAAUCUCCGCUGUACCAAGAGUCGCGAGGCAAGGAUUCAUUUACGAGGACCCCCAUUUCCUGAAGGAGCUUUCAAGAUGAAGCAAAAGACAGGACACACACCGGACUCUAUUGCAUCUUCUUGUGGUGAAAACGACGUGGAGAUGGGCAGUAAGGGGUUUGUUGAGGAUGUUGUUGAGGAUGCACAAGACCUGAGGUUGUGGCCAAGAGGAUUGAGUUGGCCUUUAUACAAUUGAUGGUGGAAGAGGUGAAGCAAGACCCUUCAUUAACUAGAAAAAACUCUGUCACCACAAGGCAUUGGAGUCAAAUUGACAAUGAGCUGUACAAUCAGUUCAAAGUUAGGUGCACGGUUAAUCGUUUGAAACAAAGGCACCACUACAUCAGGCAAGCUUACAAUACGUUUGUCAAAUUGAAGAACCAUAUGGGGUUCGGAUGGGAUGACCAGAGGAAAACGAUCAUGGCCCGGAUGAUGUUUGGGAUCAAUAUGUUAAGGCACAUCCCAAAGCUAAAGUAUUCAAGAAAAAGGGUCUAGACCACAUUGACUUGUUAGAUGUCCUCUUUGCAAACUCCCAAGCCACUGGCUCACUUGCCUGUGCUUCAACCCAAGGACCCCCCACCUCUGAUGAAGAAAGGGAUAUCCAAAGUGCAUUCUUUGAUGUAGGUAUCAACUCUAAUACCGGUUCUUUCCUUGUUGGUGACGAAAUUGAGGGAGAUGAUGACCCGAAAGUAGGUUGGAGUUGUGGCAAUGAUGGUGGGCGAAAGGGUGCACACCUUGAUUUGGCUCUUGAUGCAUGGAUUGCCAUGAACCUUGCAAAAAAAGAAUUCUACAUACGCUAGAACAAAAUGACUGAAGCAAGUCAGACCGAGAAGAAACAAUAUUCCAUUGAAGCAUGUAUGGACUAUUUGGCAACAAUGGACGGAAUCACGCCUGACCAAUAUGUUAAGGCGUGUGAGAGUUUCCGCGAUAAAGCAACGAGAAGAAUGUUCAUGAGGAUGCUACCCAUCAUGAAGAUGCAUUGGGUUUGUAAGCUCGCUUAGGAAUUAAGUUUGGCAAUGGAUGCAAUUUUGUUUUGUUAAGCAUCCAGCUUGGUGUAAGUCAACGUGUCCGGCUAAAACAUUACAAAUCUGCUCUUUGUUAUUAUUUUUUCAAUCCUUGUAUUUCAUGUGUACUAUGGCUAUGUAAGGAACUUGGAGGCUUUACCAAAUUAUGAGUUUGUCUGUGAUGAACAGAACAUUAGAAGCAUAUUUAAUAUUCACAUUUGGGUUAAGAACUUGUCUGUCAUGAACAGAACAUUAGAAGCAUAUUUAACAUUCACGUUUGGGUUAAGAACU